rnacentral:lncRNA from 1 species
AUGAACAGGGGCUUGUUCUACACGGCUGUCGUCCUGCUCGUGCUGUGCGCAGUCUUGACUGAAGUUGCGGCGACAUCGAACACGACCAGAAAGGAUGAACCAAAAAAGUCUGACAAUAAGUCUUCAGGGACAAAUGCUUUGAGUGGCUCUUUUCUGCUCCAGUUGCUGAUGCUGUCGGCCCCUGCUUUGCUGUGCAAACUGUUUUAACCGGCAACAGAACAUGAAGACCCUUCUG